GAUAAAGCCUUACUUUCUUCAAGAGUAGUAAUCACCUGAGUUUGGAUAGCCGCUAUUUGUCGGGUGAGUGCAUCAAAUUGUGAGGGGUUCAUGUUUAAAGUAGUAAAGUGACAGGACGACCACUAGGCAAUUGUACGCAAAGCAAUACUACCUAAAUGAAAUGCAAUAGAGAGACCAAUAUGCAUCAAGGACCAACGAUUAAAACAUCAAUUUGAAAUUCUCUCUCUCUCUUUUCUUCCCUUCCAAAAAUGCAAGUUAAUAGUGCUGAUGCUUGUAAAUAAUAAAGCAAGGGUCCAAUGCUUGUCAAGAUCAAAUGGUAUUGUCAAGAUUUCCAAUCAGGUAGAUAAAAGAGGUAACAAUGGCACAUCAAUUCAGUGAGAUAAAUGGGGCAACAAUGGCAAGUCAAUUCAAUGAGUGAUUCCAGUCAAGUGAAGUUUGAGGCCAAAGUUGUGAUAGUAACAGCAGCAGUAUAAACCAAUGAGAAUUAGGAGAUAGCAACUCCCUGUAGUCUAGUUGCUUGAAUUGCUAACGAUUGGGCCUCUGAUCUGCCUGUGUCACAUGUCUCCAGCUCCUGAACUCACGGUCAUUGCAUAUUCUAAAUUGUUGGCUUCACUGAAAUUGGACAGAUACUGAAAUAGAAACCUCUGUGUAACUGAAUGGGUUGCUUGGUAGUAGACUGAAACUGUAGACGCUGGCUUAUGGAAAUAAUGAGCAAUGGCAGUUCACAAAUGGUGAGAAGUGGCCGGCUUCUAGGAUAAUAAGCAAUGGCUGGCCGAUUGAUGGUCGGCCGACUAAGUGGUGAAGUCCGACUGGGGUGGAAGUCAGCGACGGUGACGGGUAGGAGGGAACGGGCGACUGGACAUCGUGGGUAUUGACGGGUGAGUUGCUGGUCGUGGGGAGUGACAGGAUGAGUUAGGGCUCGGGUUGGGAAAUUGAUUUGGGUAGUGAGAUAGGAGUUGGGUUGGGCCGGGUAUUGUAAGUUGGGUCGGCGAUUGGUGUAAUGGGCUAAUGUGGGUGUGGGCUGGAUAAUUGGUUUGUAUGGUAAUUGGGUCUUAUGGGCUUGGAGUAUAAGUAGAGUUGGAAUAAUGAAUCAAUGGGCUGCUGUAAUUGGGUUAGGGAUAUGGGCUUGACCGAGUCUAUGGAUUACGAAUUAGUGGGUUACGUGGGUUUGGACUGUGUUCAAUAUUGGCUGAGUUUAGACUGAAAAUUAUGUUGGGCUGGAAUAUAUGUUGGGCUAGAAUAUAUGGAAUUGAAAAAAAAAUAUAAGCUAGGGUUUGAAACAGCAACUUUAAUACAAAAGGAAGCAGCAAAUCAAUCAAAUUGAACAGCAGAAUUUUAUUAUUAUUAUUAUUUUUUAUUUUUUAUUUUUUUUUAUACUACAGAAUGAAAAUCAAAAAUUUGGAAUCCGGGUGUGAACAGUACCCGUGAACAGUAACACGAAAUUUUUUUUUUUUUUUCAACUAACUUUGAAAAUUGAAGAAUAAAAUUGCUGCCUUUACCAAAAUCCUUUUAAUUUGUGUUGUCCCAACAAAAUUUAGGAGAAAAGAAGAGAUUUUUGAUUGUAAAAGAAAGUACCAAAGAUUCGGCUCUGAUACCAAAUUUGAUGCAGGAUGAAAAUGAAUUCCUGCAAAAUAGUUAGAACAGGUAGAAUAUAGCAUAACCAGAAGAAGAAGAAGAAGGCGGAAGCAGUAAGAAAGGGAGAGGAACCGGAGAGAAACAAAGGGGAACGAGGGGAGACCAGGGGACAGCAAGGGAGAAGCCAAGGGGGAAACGGCCGGCUGCAAGCCAAAACCAACUUUCAAUUCUAAUUCAUUAUCAACUGUCUCAAAUGAAAAACAAAACAGAAAUAAAUAGCAGAAUACAAACCCUAAAGAGAAGGGCUUGGGCCAAACCCACUAAGCAAGCCCAAUAACGAAAACAUAAACAAUAGUCCAAAUAAAAUAUAACUAAUAGUCCAAAUAGAAAAUAAAUAAUAAAUGGAUGUCCGCAUCAAAUUGUGUGGAUGUCAUGCAAUGGUGCAAAUAACAUAAAAAUUUAUGGUUCGAAGAAUAAAAUAAACUUGUCAUGCUUAAUGUGGAAGUGCCAUGACAAAAGCUAGAGAAGUGAAUCAUUGUCAGAAGAAUCGUUUAUUAAUUUCUAUUUUUCAAUGAGUUUCUGUUCAUCGAAUGUUCAUUAUAUGUUAAUGAGGAGAAUUGCUACAGAUGCCUAUAAAAUUCUAAUAUUUAUCCUCAAUAAAUUUGAUGUUGGUUACAUACAUCUUUUUUUGACCUUUCGAUACAGUGUUAUAUCUGUUAAAAAAUCUAACGAAAAUCAAGUGUUUUGCAUUCAUAUUGAACCAUGUUAGUUUCGUCUAUCUUUUAACCUUUUCCAUUGGGAUUGCAUUGCUCUUUUGAAUGAGAGAUUGUUUAGGUCCAUGCAAGACAUGUUCCAAUCUUUUAAGUUGUCAUGUCCUUAUUUUGUUCUUAAUUGGUGUGACCUCGACGUGUGGUGUAUAUUUUGAUUCCUUAUUAAUUGCCAAACUUAAAUUACUAAAUAAUCUCUCUUUGAGACAAUAUGAGAUGUCCUGCUAUGAUAAAAAUAACAUUCUUUUUACUUAUCUUAACUUAUCGUAUAACUUACGCUAGGACAAGAAUCCCUUGAAUUUAGGAUUGAUGGGAAGAUAUUUUAAUUAAGCUAAUGGAUGCUCAAGCAGCACAAGAACAUUUGGGUAAAAUAUAAUCCUUAAUUUUUCUUCAUUACACAAUCACAGAGCAUGCUUCUUUGCUUAAACUUUUGUUCAAGCCAUCUUUUUUACGUUUAUAUUUUUAUGUGAUUUUCUUUUUUGGUGGGGGUGGCUUCCUUGGAGCUUUGUCAUACAAUUCCUGUGGUGACAUAGAUGCUGAUUCUGGCAUUGAUUUUGAAAUAUAAUGCUCAGUAAUCACAUCCAAGACGCAAAUUCUGGGGAAAAAAAAUAACUGCUGCUGAUUUUGAUUACAGGCCCAACGCUCAUCCUUUCAUGUUGGAAAAUAUUGUUAUUCUUGUUUUACAACAGCUUUGGGCUAAUUGCUACUUGUGUUCAGAUCGAGUAUGUUUGUUUUGACGCUCGCUUUGUUUUCUGCAGAUGAAUCAUCUCGGCAUCUGAUAUUCUUGGUGAAUGAAGAUUUCUUUCACGCAGAGACAGAUCUUUUCUUUGCGCUUUCUUUCCUUUUAAUUUAAUAAUCACCAGGAUGUUCAUUUUGAUCGGGUUAAUGUUUUGAAUUUUCUUAGUGGUAGAAAUGGUCGUGUUUGCUUCUAUUUUAUUUUACUUCUUUGGGACUGAAUCAAACUUGGUUGGGGAUUCUGUUAUCUAAAUCUUUUCUCGAUGGAUGACAGAAAAUAAUCAAUCUUAAUUGAUGAUUGGGACAUAAAAUUAUUGGAUAAAUUUUCUGACUUGAUUAUGAAUAUUGUUAUUAUUGCUCAUAUAUAUUGCUGGGAA
rnacentral:lncRNA from 1 species